rnacentral:lncRNA from 1 species
CUGGCCAUCUUACAUGGAGUGAGUCUGCCAAGAACAAGGCUAAGAAGCAAAUGAUGUCAUGAAAUGCAGAAAUAGAAUACUGACAAUAUUGUUUUUAAAACCUUGGAUUUUCAAUUAUGAUUACACAGAGUGUCUGUGGUGCUACUGGUUAAAGACACAGGUGAUACCAACUGCAAAGCCCAACUUCUCACUUAAAGGAACUGCUUUAUGGCCUCCUUACUUCACUUCAGGAUUGGUCUGCAAAGUGUUGCCUGAGCUGAAGACUGGAUUGCAAACAACCCUUCAGACAAGGGGAAGAUGCCCAAUUCUAACCAUGAAGGGUGGGCCUUCAUGGGAGCCUGGUAUUAGUGUCCUUCCUCAGAGAGCCUAUCACAGUGAGGUGUGAACUCUGGCCUCAUAUUUAGAGAAAAGAGACACCUGGAAGAUCUCUCAUUAACAACUGAACCUCAACCUGGAAAUGACAUAGAUUAUAUCUGCUCACACAACUCACUGUUUAAACCCAGUCAUGGCCAACCAGAGAGGAAUCAGGGAGUAUAAGCCUACUGUGAAUCUGGGAGAAGAGCUGGAAAUAUUCUAUUUGGACUGUCUGAAGGCAUACACUGUGUUUGCAAUAUUUUCAUCUGGUGUCGCACCUGGUCCUGCUCCCUAAAGUAAGCUGGACUAGAGGACAAUCAGAAUGACAGAGGCUGUCUGGGGCUUAAUCAUCCUUCUUGCUAACACUGACCUUAAACCACAGUCAAACUUCUAAACCUCAUCUUCCUUUUUCCACUGGG